rnacentral:rRNA from 1 species
GACGAACGCUGGCGGCGUGGAUUAGGCAUGCAAGUCGGACGGUAGGGCUUUAUCGUAAGAUAGAGUUUGAGAGUGGCGAACGGGUGAGUAACACGUAGGAAUCUACCCUUAAGACGGGGACAACCCAGGGAAACUUGGGCUAAUACCGGAUGAGAGUGCGAGAGAUUGCAUUUAAAAGGAUGGCGAAAGUUGUCGCUUAGGGAUGAGCCUGCGGUCUAUUAGUUAGUUGGUGAGGUAAGAGCUCACCAAGGCGAUGAUAGAUAGGCGGCCUUAACGGGUGGUCGCCCACACUGGGAUUGAGAUACGGUCCAGACUCCUACGGGAGGCAGCAGUGGGGAAUAUUGGGCAAUGGGGGAGACCCUGACCCAGCGACGCCGCGUGAGGGAUGAAGGUUUUCGGAUCGUAAACCUCUGUUGUACGGGAAGAAGGACUUGACGGUACCGUACGAGGAAGCCCCGGAAACUACGUG